rnacentral:rRNA from 1 species
AUUGAACGCUGGCGGCAUGCUUUACACAUGCAAGUCGAACGGCAGCGCGGGGCAACCUGGCGGCGAGUGGCGAACGGGUGAGUAAUAUAUCGGAACGUACCCAGAAGUGGGGGAUAACGUAGCGAAAGUUACGCUAAUACCGCAUACGAUCUACGGAUGAAAGUAGGGGACCGCAAGGCCUUAUGCUUUUGGAGCGGCCGAUAUCUGAUUAGCUAGUUGGUGAGGUAAAGGCUCACCAAGGCGACGAUCAGUAGCUGGUCUGAGAGGACGACCAGCCACACUGGAACUGAGACACGGUCCAGACUCCUACGGGAGGCAGCAGUGGGGAAUUUUGGACAAUGGGCGCAAGCCUGAUCCAGCGAUGCCGCGUGAGUGAAGAAGGCCUUCGGGUUGUAAAGCUCUUUUGUCAGGGAAGAAACGGUAGAGGCUAAUAUCCUUUGCUAAUGACGGUACCUGAAGAAUAAGCACCGGCUAACUACGUG